rnacentral:snoRNA from 1 species
AGCAAUGAUGGCACUAACACAAGGCAUAGUUCAACUGAGCUCGGGGCUACCACCCCGCUGAUAGAGAAACCUCUUUCUGUGUUCCUGAGCU